AGGCUCUCCAGUCUUUCCCUGCCCAGCCCUGGGGUCAGUUUGGGGUGGGAUGGUUGGAGCCACUCCUGAUGCAAGCAGGCCUUGCCUUGCGAGGUGCACAGCCGGGAUCGGGUGUGCACAGACACCACUCCCAUGUGCCUGUGGCUGCGUUCCUCGUUGGUUAGAAGACCACGUGCUCACAUGGAUGCCUCCCGUUCCUAGCAGAGCCAUUCUGUCUCCCUCUGCAUUAGUGGAAUACUGAGUGUGGCCACCAUCCUCACCUCAGGUCACCUGAAGGCUCCAGGUCUGCAUUGCUCAAGGGGGAAGGGGCCUCCUGGAGUCCCAGGGAGCUGAGCAGUCCUCUCCAUGCCCACUCUGCUGGCCACCCAAGCCCUUGUGGCAGAGGUUCCCCCUGUGGGACGGUCCAGCUGUGGAGGACAGCUUAGCAGGUGCAGGGCAAGGCCUCACCUUGCCACUCCCAUGGUGAGGGACCUAUAUCCCAGAAUGGAAGGGAUUCUUCCCCUCCCAGCUGUUAGCCGGGGUCAGACCACCCACCUUUUAGCUCUGAGCCCCCCUGUGCUGCAGUGUCCAGAC
rnacentral:lncRNA from 1 species